GAAAGAAUAAACUAACUUAAAGGAAAUACUAUGAAACAAUACUGUAAGAAAAACUAAUAAAUUCUUUGGCUUCUACUCGCCGUCUUCCUGCAGAACGGGCUCGGGAACCAAAUCUUCUUGAUCUGAAAUAGUUAAGUAAGGAAUGAGUUACACUAGCCCAGUAAAGACAUCACAAUAUCUCACUGUCACAGAAGUAAAAGUUGGUAUAAAACGAAAACAACCAAUGGAGCA
rnacentral:lncRNA from 1 species